rnacentral:rRNA from 1 species
UUCCGGUUGAUCCUGCCGGACCUGACUGCUAUCGGAUUGGUACUAAGCCAUGCGAGUCGUUGUAGCAAUACAAGGCGGACGGCUCAGUAACACGUAGUCAACCUAACCUAUGGACGUGGAUAACCUCGGGAAACUGAGAAUAAACCGCGAUAGAUCAUUAUGCCUGGAAUGGCUUAUGGUUCAAACAAUUUAUUGCCGUAGGAUGGGACUGCGGCCUAUCAGCUUGUUGGUGAGGUAAUGGCCCACCAAGGCUAUAACAGGUACGGGCUCUGAGAGGAGAAGCCCGGAGAUGGGUACUGAGACACGGACCCAGGCCCUAUGGGGCGCAGCAGGCGAGAAACCUUAGCAAUGUGCGAAAGCACGACUAGGUUAAUCCGAGUGAUUUCUGUUGAAGAAAUCUUUUGUCAGUCGUAAAACCACAGACGAAUAAGGGGUGGGCAAGUCUGGUGUCAGCCGCCGCGGUAAUACCAGCACCUCGAGUGGUCAGGAGGUUUAUUGGGCCUAAAGCAUCCGUGGCCGGCUUUGCAAGUCUCCGGUUAAAUCCAGCUGCUCAACAGAUGGGCUGCCGGAGAUACUACAAAGCUAGGGAGCGGGAGAGGUAGACGGUAUUCGGUGGGUAGGGGUAAAAUCCACUGAUCCAUCGAGGACCACCAGUGGCGAAGGCGGUCUACCAGAACGCGUUCGACGGUGAGGGAUGAAAGCUGGGGGAGCAAACCGGAUUAGAUACCCGGGUAGUCCCAGCUGUAAACGAUGCAAACUCGGUGAUGCAUUGGCUUAUGGCCAAUGCAGUGCCGCAGGGAAGCCGUUAAGUUUGCCGCCUGGGAAGUACGGACGCAAGUCUGAAACUUAAAGGAAUUGGCGGGGGAGCACCACAAGGGGUGAAGCCUGCGGUUCAAUUGGAUUCAACGCCGGA